GAACGCACCUUGCGCCCAUUGGUAUUCCGAUGGGCAUGCCUGUUCGAGUGUCUUGAAUUCAUCGCCGCCUCCGGUUUUGCGACCGGCUGGCGGCGGACUUGGGGGUCUGCCGCGGCGACGCGGCUCCCUUUGAAUGCAUCGGUGGGGUCUCCGAGCACCCACGGGCGUUGUAUUGUCCUCGUCCGACCGGGCCUCGCGUCCCCCACCUCGACUGCCGUCUGAGCGGCGGUCAAGCACACUUUGAAAUCUGACCUCGAAUCAGGUAGGACUACCCGCUGAACUUAAG
rnacentral:misc_RNA from 1 species